AUGGCGCCUUUGUUCCUCAAGCCUCCAGGGUCCAGUUCUCAGGCUAUGGUGACUCAGGAGCCUUCACUGACCGUGAACCUGGGAGGGACAGUCAUUCUCACAUGUGCUUCCAGCACUGGAGCAGUCACUGAUGGUCACUAUCCACACUGGUUCCAGCAGAAGUCUGGUCAAGCCCCCAAAACAAUGAUUUAUGACACAAACAAAAAACACUCCUGGACUACAGCCCGGUUCUCAGGUUCCAUCCUUGGGGACAAAGCUGCCCUCACAAUCUCAGGGGUCCAAUCAGAGGAUGAGGCUGAAUACUAUUGUUGGCUGUUAUACAGUAAUGCUUGACACAAAUCGUCAUUGUCCACAAACCCUGGGGGUACAGUUACAUUCACCUGUGGCUCCAGCACUGGGGCUGUCACCACCAAUAAUUAUGCUGAUUGGGUUCAACAGAAGCCCUACCAGAAGCCCCGGGCUCUAAUAGGUGAUGCCAGUCAUAGGCAUCCAGAUGUUCCUGCCCGAUUCUCUGGCUCCCUGCUUGGAAACAAGGCAGUGCUCACCAUCACUGGAGCCAAGGAAGAGGACGAGGCUGAGUAUUUCUGUGCUCUGUGGUUCAGCAAC